rnacentral:misc_RNA from 1 species
GUUCACAGUUAAGGUAUGCAUUACAUUCAUAUUUAUGCAAAUGAUACAAACAAUUUAAAGGACUAUUUAUUUCAGGCAAUUUGAAAGAAUAAAAAAAUUAGAGAGUAGAAGUCCCAACAUCUAGGUAUUACAAAUUAUCACCUCAAUUUAAGAUUUCAGCACCACCAUUGGGAUUCUCAAAAUUAAAAAAUUAAACAGCCAGCUUUGAACAAGUGGCUGUGAUGAAGCCCAUUGCAUUCAAUUAUAUUUAAAUUUGUAAUAAAGCCAUCUUCCUCCCAACCAAGCAAAAUGCACUCACAAAGUAAGGAAAAAAAUCAUAGCAUAUCAUACUUAACCACAAAGAAGCCAUGAAUUUCAAUUGUCACUCAAUUUUAGAGACCAAUUAUCAAAGUUCUUGAAAAGUGAAAAAGCACAGGGCAGUGCUGUCGAAUAAUUUACUUCUACUUGAAAAAACAUAGGCACAAUAUUAUUGUAACUUAAUUUUUCUCACUCGUGAAAUUUACAAUAUCUUUUGACAGCCCAAUGAUUU